UACAGGGGGUGCAAACGUUGCUCGGAAUCAUUGGGCGUAAAGCGCACGUAGGCGGUUCGUUAUGUCGGAUGUGAAAGCCCUUGGCUUAACCGAGGAAGUGCAUCCGAAACUGGCGAGCUAGAGUACUAAAGAGGCUCGCGGAAUUCCCGGUGUAGAGGUGAAAUUCGUAGAUAUCGGGAGGAACACCGGUGGCGAGGGCGGCGAUCUGGGUAGAUACUGACGCUGAGGUGCGAAAGCGUGGGGAGCAAACAGG
rnacentral:rRNA from 1 species